rnacentral:rRNA from 1 species
AGAUUGAACGCUAGCGGGAUGCUUUACACAUGCAAGUCGAACGGCAGCGCGGACUUCGGUCUGGCGGCGAGUGGCGAACGGGUGAGUAAUAUAUCGGAACGUGCCCAGUAGCGGGGGAUAACUACGCGAAAGCGUGGCUAAUACCGCAUACGCCCUACGGGGGAAAGGGGGGGAUCGCAAGACCUCUCACUAUUGGAGCGGCCGAUAUCAGAUUAGCUAGUUGGUGAGGUAAAGGCUCACCAAGGCGACGAUCUGUAGCUGGUUUGAGAGGACGACCAGCCACACUGGGACUGAGACACGGCCCAGACUCCUACGGGAGGCAGCAGUGGGGAAUUUGGACAAUGGGGGAAACCUGAUCCAGCCAUCCCGCGUGUGCGAUGAAGGCCUUCGGGUUGUAAGCUACUUUUGGCAGGAAGGAAACGGCGUUAGACUAAUUA